AACGAACGCUGGCGGCGUGGAUAAGACAUGCAAGUCGAACGGGACUAUUGAGGUAGCAAUAUCGCGAUAGUCUAGUGGCGAACGGGUGCGUAACACGUGGAUACAUUCCGGGAAGCGGGGGAUAGCCCGAGGGAAACUUGGAUUAAUACCGCAUGUGGUCGAAAGACUAAAGACGGGGACCGCAAGGCCUGUCACUUCCCGAUUGGUCCGCGGCCUAUCAGCUAGUUGGCGGGGUAAAAGCCCACCAAGGCUACGACGGGUAGCUGGUCUUAGAGGACGACCGGCCACACUGGAACUGAGACACGGUCCAGACACCUACGGGUGGCAGCAGUCGAGAAUCUUUCACAAUGGGGGCAACCCUGAUGGAGCGACGCCGCGUGGAGGAUAAGGUCUUCGGAUUGUAAACUCCUGUCAUGUGAGAACAAGGUUGCAGGGCUAACGAACCCUGCAAAUUGAUGGUAUCACAAGAGGAAGAGACGGCUAACUCUGUGCCAGCAGCCGCGG
rnacentral:rRNA from 1 species